GUGUACGCGAGUCAUUGGGUAAAUAAAACCUAAAGGCGCAAUGAAAGUAAAGGGUGGAAAAGAUAUAGGAAGGAAAGUAAUUUUCAUCCUUAAUUCUAUACACCCGAGGGAAGAUGGUUUACCUUGUUUUCAAAUUUUUUUUAAAAUUUUUAAACGUAGGUUUCUCGCAUUCCCAGGGCGCUUGUUUCUUGCUUUGCAAGUCUAUGCGCACCUAGAGCGUACACGAUGAUACCCGAAAGAUGGUGAACUAUGCCUGGCCAGGACGAAGCCAGGGGAAACCCUGGUGGAGGUCCGCAGCGAUUCUGACGUGCAAAUCGAUCGUCAGAGCUGGGUAUAGGGGCGAAAGACCAAUCGAACCAUCUAGUAGCUGGUUCCCUCUGAAGUUUCCCUCAGGAUAGCUUGCGCUCAAUUGAUUGAGUCUCAUCCGGUAGAGCGAAUGAUUAGAGGCAUUGGGGUCGAAACGACCUCAACCUAUUCUCAAACUCCAAAUAGAUGAGACCCCUGGCUUUCUUAAAUUUUUUGAAGUCUUGGGAUUAGGAUCAGAGUGCCAAG
rnacentral:rRNA from 1 species